rnacentral:rRNA from 1 species
AACGAACGCUGGCGGCAUGCCUAACACAUGCAAGUCGAACGAGACCUUCGGGUCUAGUGGCGCACGGGUGCGUAACGCGUGGGAACCUGCCUUUAGGUUCGGAAUAACUCAGAGAAAUUUGAGCUAAUACCGGAUGAUGUCUUCGGACCAAAGAUUUAUCGCCUUUAGAUGGGCCCGCGUUGGAUUAGCUAGUUGGUGGGGUAAAGGCCUACCAAGGCGACGAUCCAUAGCUGGUCUGAGAGGAUGAUCAGCCACACUGGGACUGAGACACGGCCCAGACUCCUACGGGAGGCAGCAGUGGGGAAUAUUGGACAAUGGGCGAAAGCCUGAUCCAGCAAUGCCGCGUGAGUGAUGAAGGCCUUAGGGUAGUAAAGCUCUUUUACCCGAGAUGAUAAUGACAGUAUCGGGAGAAUAAGCUCCGGCUAACUCCGUG